GAUGAACGCUGACCGAAUGCUUAACACAUGCAAGUCGAUGGGGAAGUGAUGCUUGCACCAUGGCAACCAUGGCGGACGGGUGAGUAACGCGUAAGGGACUUACCUGCAGGACUGGGAUAACAGGGGGAAACUCCUGACAAGACCGGAUAAUGUCAUGGAGCUGCAUGGCUUUAUGAUGAAAGGAGACGCCUGCGGAGAGCCUUGCGUCCUAUUAGCUAGUUGGUGAGGUAAUGGCUCACCAAGGCGAAGAUAGGUAGCCGGCCUGAGAGGGUGGACGGCCACAAGGGGACUGAGAUACGGCCCUUACUCCUACGGGAGGCAGCAGUGGGGAAUAUUGGACAAUGGGGGCAACCCUGAUCCAGCAAUUCUGUGUGCACGAAGAAGGUUUUCGGAUUGUAAAGUGCUUUCAGCAGGGAAGAAGUAAGUGACGGUACCUGCAGAAGAAGCGACGGCUAAAUACGUG
rnacentral:rRNA from 1 species